rnacentral:tRNA from 1 species
GGUGGGUUGGCUGAGUGGUUUAAAGCACUGGUCUUGAAAACCAGCAUCCUUAACGGGAUCGUGGGUUCAAAUCCCUCACCCAUCG